UGUUUUCAGAUAACAUAUUUUAAUAGAUGACGCUAGUAGUUUUCCUUAAAUUUAAAAAGUUCUGUUACUUUUCCCACAUACUGUGUAUAUUGUAGAAUAUCUACGCAGUAUAAAAGAAAAUAUUUUAUAAAAAUUAUUUGCAAAAAUAAUGUGGAUGGAAGAUAGUGUUCUGAAAUGAAGUACGUGAUUUGAAAGAUUGAGUAUAUCAAAGAUAAGCGUCACUUAAAUUUACAUAGUACUUGCAGACGAUUAAAAAUCGAAAUUGCACGCCCGUUUGAAGUCGCGCGAAGAAACGAAAGGAAAUGGAUUUUCUCCCGUGUACGUUUUUCCUAUACAAGAGACAAACGACGACUAUGCUUGAUGAUUGUAGACGCUCCUCUGCUGUAUCAUAAAGACCUCCACACCCAGAACACUUUCAUUUCCACGGUUUCAGAUUACAACGUGCAGGUCUUGAAAGGCUUUCUGCAAAUUCCCUAACUUCCCUAACUGAUUUCAUAAUCGUGUCGUAUAGCAUUGCCAAACUCUAGUAACUGUAUUAACUCCGGAAAUACAGGCGUUAGCCAGGUCCUAAUUAAACGAUGAGAGAUAUUUUUGCUACUGUGAGGGAAACUCGUUUCAUUUUAUUGGGGUAGAGUGAAUGGUAUACCAAAUAAAUUGCCAGAUUAAAUUCAGCCUUUUGCUUCUGUGCACAAUUACAGUCCACGAAUUUUUUCUGUCUGUUUCCGGAAUCGAAACAAGAGCGACUGAUUCGAGGGACAUGGAAGGAGACAUCUAAUUCGUUUAUUUGUUGUGUAAAAGUCGAGUCGUGAUUUUUAUCAACGCAAUCGUAAAUUUGAACAAUAAUGGCAACUACAGGGACAACGUUCAUUUUCUACAUUAUGAGAUUUCUGUAAUAUUACCAUUAUCAUUUUGUUAAAUUGAACAACGAUUAUAUACGCGUACAAUUUGCAAACCAGAAACCUUCAUUAUUUUUGUAGCCUUAAAUUUUUCAAUGAUGAAUUGAUAUUUUUGUAUAUUUAAAUUAAUGAGAAUGAAAGAAAGUAACAUUGCAUCAAGAAUUUUUUGUUGUUAUUCAAUAGAUUUCUUUCAAAUGAUCUCAUUGAAUAAAAAUAACUUGUGGAUAUGUACAAUGAAAGUUUUGUUAGGUCGUAGUUUGAAUAAAACAUAUUUUGAAUAUAUUCUGUCUAAAUUGAAACACUUUUUUCUUUAUUGGGCUCAGCAACGAAACCAGACUGUUCGAAGGCUCAGACAGCAAAAAAUGUGAGGUGAUAAGUUGAAGAGAGUUUCGAAAGGUGUCGAUUUAUGCUCUCCACUUCGAGGUUUGACGGUCCGUCGAGUUUCACAAUUGGCCCACUGGAUUUUUAUCGCCCGGAGAAUUUAUUAAAGCUCACAACUCGUAUAUUCCUGAUUUUAUCUCGCCUAGCAUAUAAGUUCGAUAGUUAUUGUCACCUGUGAAAGAAAGUUUAAUUCGGUCAGUUUAUGAUGUACGGCUGAAAUGUAUUUCUAGUAAGUGAAGUCAAAAUUGAUGAAAUAAAUUGUUUACAGUUUUUAAUGAA
rnacentral:lncRNA from 1 species